GUCGAGUCGGGCAAACGCCCUCCCAGCCUUUAGCCAAUCGGAUGCCUAAAGACGAGACUAUACCUGGAGGAAGGAGGCGCGGCGCCGGAGGGGAGACGCGACCAAUGGGAAAUCACAGCGCGUCCUUGCGGCAGCCAAUAGGAGAGCAGUAAAGAGGGGGCUGCUGGCCACUGCUCUGGGGACCGGAAGUGGAGGCGGCUCGUCGCCUACUGGUAGCGCAAUUAGAGGCGGGCAUUGUAGGUUACAUGCCUAAAGCCACUUCCGGUGAUGGCCCCGCCCAGGAGGUACUUCUGAAACAGGUCCCCAGUGGCACCUCAGUUUAUCCAUUCCCGUUUUGGUUUCGCAGCUGUCAUCCGGUCCCAACGCCAGAAUAGGAGAAAAACCUGCAGGCUAAGAGAGAAGGGAGGGCUGGGCCUGAGGUUCAGUCUUGGUCAUCUCCGACUGGCGGCGCUAGGAUUUCCCCCUUCCUGUGUCUUGAUGGGUUCCUCCAACACUCACUUUGUAUCGAUAAACGACCCUGCAGUUCUUCACGACCUGCAUUGCGCUGGCAGUCCUGAGUGAAGAACUCUCCUCUCAUCCCAGAGAUGGGAAACCUGGAUCUGAGACUGCCAGCUAGCUGCGGCCUCCUAGUCUGUAAAGCGAAGGGAGACCAGGACGCUCCCAAGGACCCGGCUUAUCGCCCCUCCCUUUCCUUCCCGGGGACCCAGAACAGACCACAAGACGGAGGGUGGCCGCUGGAGGUCGCCGUGGCCCCGCGAUACCACCAACCGACAGAAAUGGAGAACAGUUGAUUCAGAUUCAGCUGAUAUUCUCAGGUCUGGAGCGGGCCUGAGCGCUUUAAUUAGCCCGGGGCUAAUGUCCUCACCCAUCUUUGUUUAUAGAACGUUGAAACUCCAGUACUGUUGCCAGGACCUUGGUAGCCCUGAGGUGUGAUGGGAGACUCUGGACAGAACCACCUGUUGACCUAUCCAGGACCCAAAUAUGCACCACAGCACCAAGAAGUUUCCGGUCCCGGUACAGAUCAGUGAGGAAGAGGCUAUUGACAAGUGUGGAUUUGCCCAGGCCAGACUCUCCUGAGAGGAGAGAGGACAGAGGCACCAAAUCAGAAGGGACCCUUCUCUGGGCUGUCUGAUAGUCUGCAGAGACACAGCUGCUUCCGUGCUCUAGGAGAGAGGGACUCCUUGGAGAUCUGAUCUCACUAGUAGUCGUAAUUCUUUGGAUGGGCUCAGUUUGUACUGCUUCAUCCUUUGGAGAAUCCCAAAGAAGUACCUGAAAGGAAUCUGUGGAUUUGUCUUUGGAGUUAUAUCACCAAGCCUUUGGCAAGUUUUUAACAAAACUGGGAUUUCCUUGUACAUAGAGAAGGCUCCAGACCCUCCUUUACUCUCCCGAGAUUCUAGAAAUUCUCAGGACUCAUCCAGAGAAGGAAUCAGCCAGAAGAUCCUAUGAAGACAAGAUCAAACCAAACACGCUGUGUUCGCCCCAGUUUUAAUAAGAAAUCUGACUGAAAACAAAUGGUUGAAUGUGCUGCUAACAGAGAGGGCCAAACGAUGAUGUCUAUUGUGGCAGCUGAACAAAGUGAGACUUACAGAACUGGAACUGCUGCCCUGACAGCAACUGAAGCAGAAAGAGAAGAAAGGAGCUUACAACCAGGACACUCAAACUCAGGCCAGGAGUCCGUCUAUGAUCCAAUUCCAAUCAGUCUGACAAGUCACUCUGAUCCAGCACGAUUAUCCUAUGCACAUGUUUUUUAAAGAACAAAAAAGGAAGUUUCGAGUUGGUAUGUGUGUUUUUUAAAGACACAAACCACAUCCUCUUUCUAUUCAAUUAAAUUCAAGGGAAAGGAAUUUUGGUCUUUAUAAUCAAGGGCGAUUAUAACCAACAGUGUGUCAUGGAAAUGCAAAAUGACUACAGAGCAAUUGACAGCAGCAUCUUCUGUAUUCUCUCCAUAUUAAACCUGUUCUUUUUUUUUUUUUGAGACGGAGUCUUGCUCUUAUCCCCCAGGUGGAGUGCAAUGGCGCGACCUCGGCUCACUGCAACCUCUGCCUUCCGGGUUUAAGCGAUUGUCCUGCCUCAGCCUCCUGAGUAGCUGGGAUUACAGGUGCCUGCCACCAUGCCCGGCUAAUUUUUGUAUUUUUAGUAGAGACGGGGUUUCACCAUGUUGGCCAGGCUGGUCUCGAACUCCUGACCUCAGGUGAUCUGCCCGCCUCGGCCUCCCAAAGUGCUGGGAUUACAAGUAUGAGCCACCGUGCCUGGCCUAAAACUGUUCUUAUGCUGACUCUAUCACUUAUUGAAUCAAAGUUGGCAUUAAUUUCACUUUAUAGUUUAAUUAACUAUAAACACUAACAUUUUAAAAAUUAAGCAACUUUGUCUAAAUUGGAGUCUUUGUCAUUAAUGUGUAUUUAGACACUGGUAAAUGUUUUUAAGUCUGCUUCUGUUGUCUAUAAACAUGACUUUUGAUCUACAAACAUCUGAUAUUUCAUUACCUGGAUGAUUCGGACCAACCUAGUCGCUUCCAAAAACAGGAUUUUAGUUCAUCUUGAUGAAAUAUAAGAGGAAGGAAAAAACAACAUGAUUAAUUUCUAGGUCAAAGGGUGCCAGUAUUCAUAUUAGUGCUCCCUCUAAUUUAGAGUAGACUGUUUUACCUACAAUGGUUGUUAUAUUCUGCCAGAUAGACUCUUUCUAAAAACACAAUUAAUGGGCUUCCCCUCCUAACAUUCUAUAGUUUUCUGCCACAGCAAUGGGCGCUAAUGACACUAAUUCACAAAGUCCCUGUAUUAUCUUCUCAGUGAAAUCAAUACUAUUAAUAGCUAAAUGCCUACACGUUCUGGGCCCUGUGCAGUCAGGGUUCUGGAGGAAACAGAAUGUACCCACGGCUGGUUCAAAUAAAGAUCCUUAGUGAAGUGACUACAUACAGAGGUUUAUUUAGAGUUAAGGGAACAAACAAGGAAUGUCAAGGCAUCCAGUGAUUAGCAGCAGUGGGAAGCCUAAGUCUGAAGGAACUGAGUGUUGGAGAUGAGAGGUCAGUUACUAGACCUUAAUGAGAGCUGGAAUUGGGAAGAAUGGACUGCCUACAGAAGCCGCACUUGUGGAGAGACACCACUUCUACCAGGCACAAGGUGCUGAAGUAAGCAGUGAGGCAAAGUAAUACCCCAAAUUCUCUCUAGCCCCACUAAUCUUCUGCUGGGGCCUGUCAUUGGCAAACAGGAAGCCCAGGAGAUGCAGUCCACUAGGGUCAGCAUUCUGGGGCACAAAGCAGGGCAGAGAUGGGGAGAAUGAGAAGGAAAUCAGGAAGAGGUGAAAGGAAUACCAGAUGAUCUGAAAGAGUUAAAGUCUCUUACUUUCCUGAGUAGGAAGAACUUAAAUAUGGGAGAGCGUCAUUGUAAAGGGCAUAUCAGAAGCCUUCAAAAUCUAUCAAAAUAGUUUUAAAAUUAAGGUUAAUUUAUAAUUUUCACAUUACUUGUAGACUCCACUUAAAUUCCAUAAAAUAUGAUUUAUUACUGGAUUUUGAAGCAUCUAUGUGAGCUAAAUUUAAAACUCUUUGGAAGACGUUGGACAAUUAGAAG
rnacentral:lncRNA from 10 species